rnacentral:rRNA from 1 species
CGCGGCCUAUCAGCUUGUUGGUGGGGUAACGGCCCACCAAGGCAUCGACGGGUAGCUGGUCUGAGAGGACGAUCAGCCACACUGGGACUGAGACACGGCCCAGACUCCUACGGGAGGCAGCAGUGGGGAAUAUUGCGCAAUGGGCGAAAGCCUGACGCAGCAACGCCGCGUGGGGGAUGACGGCCUUCGGGUUGUAAACCCCUUUCAGCAGGGACGAAAAUGACGGUACCUGCAGAAGAAGCCCCGGCCAACUACGUGCCAGCAGCCGCGGUAACACGUAGGGGGCAAGCGUUGUCCGGAUUUAUUGGGCGUAAAGAGCUCGUAGGCAGUUGCGUAAGUCGGAUGUGAAAACUCAGGGCUCAACCCGGAGACUGCAUUCGAUACUGCGCUGACUAGAGUCCGGUAGGGGAGCAUGGAAUUCCUGGUGUAGCGGUGAAAUGCGCAGAUAUCAGGAGGAACACCAGUGGCGAAGGCGGUGCUCUGGGCCGGUACUGACGCUGAGGAGCGAAAGCGUGGGUAGCGAACAGGAUUAGAUACCCUGGUAGUCCACGCCGUAAACGUUGGGCACUAGGUGUGGGGCCUACUUAACGGGUUCCGUGCCGUAGCUAACGCAUUGAGUGCCCCGCCUGGGGAGUACGG